rnacentral:rRNA from 1 species
GGCUCAGAUUGAACGCUAGCGGCGUGCUUAACACAUGCAAGUCGCGCGUGAAAGGACUUCGGUCCGAGUAAAGCGGCGCACGGGUGAGUAACGCGUGGAUGAUCUACCCAUGAGUUAGGAAUAACGGCUGGAAACGGUCGCUAAUACCAAAUACGCUCCGAUUUCAACUUCGGGGGAAAGGUGGCCUCUGCUUGCAAGCUACUGCUCAUGGAUGAGUCCGCGUCCCAUUAGCUAGUUGGUGGGGUAACGGCCCACCAAGGCGACGAUGGGUAGCCGGUCUGAGAGGAUGACCGGCCACACUGGGACUGGAACACGGCCCAGACUCCUACGGGAGGCAGCAGUGGGGAAUAUUGCGCAAUGGGCGAAAGCCUGACGCAGCGACGCCGCGUGAGGGAUGAAGGUCCUCGGAUCGUAAACCUCUGUCAGGAGGGAAGAACCGCCACGGUGCUAAUCAGCCGUGGUCUGACGGUACCUCCAAAGGAAGCACCGGCUAACUCCGUGCCAGCCGCUGC